rnacentral:rRNA from 1 species
UGGGAAGUAAAAAUCGUAACAAGGUUUCCGUAGGUGAACCUGCGGAAGGAUCAUUAGUGAAUAUAGGACGUCCAACUUAACUUGGAGUCCGAACUCUCACUUUCUAACCCUGUGCACUUGUUUGGGAUAGUAACUCUCGCAAGAGAGCGAACUCCUAUUCACUUAUAAACACAAAGUCUAUGAAUGUAUUAAAUUUUAUAACAAAAUAAAACUUUCAACAACGGAUCUCUUGGCUCUCGCAUCGAUGAAGAACGCAGCGAAAUGCGAUAAGUAAUGUGAAUUGCAGAAUUCAGUGAAUCAUCGAAUCUUUGAACGCACCUUGCGCUCCAUGGUAUUCCGUGGAGCAUGCCUGUUUGAGUGUCAUGAAUACUUCAACCCUCCUCUUUCUUAAUGAUUGAAGAGGUGUUUGGUUUCUGAGCGCUGCUGGCCUUUACGGUCUAGCUCGUUCGUAAUGCAUUAGCAUCCGCAAUCGAACUUCGGAUUGACUUGGCGUAAUAGACUAUUCGCUGAGGAAUUCUAGUCUUCGGACUAGAGCCGGGUUGGGGUUAAGGUAUAUGCUUGUAAUCAGAACGUGGAACAAAUAAAUGUAAGCAGAAUUCAGCUCACGCCUUACUUCCGGG